rnacentral:rRNA from 1 species
AUUGAACGCUGGCGGCAUGCUUUACACAUGCAAGUCGGACGGCAGCACAGAGAAGCUUGCUUCUUGGGUGGCGAGUGGCGAACGGGUGAGUAAUAUAUCGGAACGUACCGAGUAAUGGGGGAUAACUAAUCGAGAGAUUAGCUAAUACCGCAUAUUCUCUGAGGAGGAAAGCAGGGGACCUUCGGGCCUUGCGUUAUUCGAGCGGCCGAUAUCUGAUUAGCUAGUUGGUGGGGUAAAGGCCUACCAAGGCGACGAUCAGUAGCGGGUCUGAGAGGAUGAUCCGCCAAACUGGGACGGAGACACGGCCCAGACUCCUCCGGGAGGCAGCAGUGGGGAAUUUUGGACAAUGGGGGAAAGCCUGAUCCAGCCAUGCCGGGUGUCUGAAGAAGGCCUUCGGGUUGUAAAGGACUUUUGUCAGGGAAAAAAAGGCUUUUGCUAAUUUAAAAAGCUGAUGACGGUACCUGAAGAAUAAGCACCGGCUAACUACGU